rnacentral:lncRNA from 1 species
ACUAUUAUCGUCAUUCAAAUAACAAAUAACAUAAUAUUGACAAGUUCACAACUUUAUCGAACAAUACACAACAUUCAAUGAGUUCUUUUUUAUGUAGCAUCAUUUUCAUCUUCGGUCCUAUGACUUUCAUCGUCGGCAAGUGGGGAAGGAGGAGGAGAACUGGGAAUAAGGAACUUAGCACCACAAGCAACAAGUUUGGCUAGCUGACCUUGAAGGAGAUCAAAUUGUUUGUCCCUCCUUUCUAGCUGACCUUGAAAGGUAGUCUUGGUCUCUUCAAGCUCUGAUGUCAGCUUUGUAAUAUUCUAUUCCAUAGACGAUAUAACCGAACUAUCAAUCGCCUCGCCUUGGGCGGAACUCCCUAUACCUUGCAAUCCAGCCUUGUAGCGCCGAAACAAUUUAUCUGAAAGACCGUAUGCUAUCCCCUUUUUAGGACCCCCGACUGUAUCCAACCAUAUCCUUUCUUGUUCUUCGUUUGAAAUGCCCAAAAGUGUGUAUAAAAAGUUGUAUAUAUCCAUUUCACAGUUUUUCAUAUCGAUCGAUUCAUAUAGUUGUAUUUUACAUAUAACAUAUGAAACAUUACAGUGGAUAAUGCGACAACUCUGUUGAAGAGUGAUUCAACACUUUACUGUGCAGUAAAUUGGGAAUGGAUAGUUUGGUUGAACUAG